rnacentral:rRNA from 1 species
CCUGGUUGAUCCUGCCAGUAGUCAUAUGCUUGUCUCAAAGAUUAAGCCAUGCAUUGUCUAAGUACAAGCCGAUUUAAGGCGAAACCGCGAAUGGCUCAUUAAAUCAGCUAUGAUUCAUUGGAUCUGUACCACACUUACUUGGAUAACUGUGGUAAUUCUAGAGCUAAUACAUGCACCACGUCUCUGACGCAAGGGAAGAGCGCUUUUUAUUAGUUCAAAACCGGUCGGGCCUCGGUCCGUCCCACCGUGUUGAAAUCUGAAUAACUUGUCGCUGAGCGCACGGUCUCCGCACCGGCGCCGCUCUUUCAAGUGUCUGCCUUAUCAGCUUUCGAUUGUAGGUUAUGCGCCUACAAUGGCUAUAACGGUAACGGGAAUCAGGGUUCGAUUCCGGAGAGGGAGCCUGAGAAACGGCUACCACAUCUAAGGAAGGCAACAGGCACGAAAUUACCCCUCCCGGCACGGGAGGUUUGACGAAAAUAACGAUGCGAGACUCAUCCGAGGCCUGCGCAAUCGAAUGAGUACACUUUAAAUCCUUUAACGAGAUCUAUUGGAGCAAGUCUGGUGACCAGCACCGCGGUAAUUCCAGCUCCAAUAGCGUAAUAUUAAAGUUGUUGCGGUUAAAAAGCUCGUAGUGGAUUUCAGUUCUGGACUGACGGUUACCGCCGGUGCAUAAUGUCACGCUCCGAACAGCCACAAAGCCCGCUGGCUCGCACGGGGUGCUCUUCAUCGAGCUCCGCGUGGCCGGCAGAGUUUUACUUUGAAAAAAUUAGAGUGCUCAAAGCAGGCUUACAUAGCUGAAUGCCUAUUCAUGGAAUAUGGAAUAGGACCUCGUUCUAUUUUGUCGGUUUUCUGAACCCGAGGUUAAUGACUAAUAGGAACCGGGGCAUUCGUAUUGCGACGCUAGAGUGAAAUUCUUGGACCGUCGCAAGACGAACGACUGCGAAAGCAUUUGCAAGAAUGUUUCAUUAUCAAAACGAAAUAGAGGUUCGAACGAUCAAUACCGCUAUAGUCUAACCAUAAACGAUGCUGACCAGCGAUCCGCCGGCGUUUCCAUGACCCGGCGGCAGCUUCCGGAAACCAAAGUCUUUGGUCGGGGAAGUAUUGCAAAGCUGAAAUUAAAGGAAUUGACGGAAGGCACCACAGGAUGGGAGCCUGCGGCUUAAUUUGACUCAACACGGGAACCUAAGCCCAGACACCGGAAGGAUUGACAGAUUGAGAGCUCUUUCUCGAUUCGGUGGUGGUGGUGCAUGGCCGUUCUUAUGGUGGAGCGAUUUGUCUGGUUAAUUCCGAUAACGAACGAACUCUGGCUAACUAAUAUUCGACGGAUCUCAGCAAAUUGGUGUCCAGUUGCAGUCUUCUAAGGGAAUAAGGCAACUUUAGCCGCACAAUGACAAUAACAGGUCUGUGAAUGCCCUAGAUUUCUGGCCGCCGCGCGCUACCUGAAGGAAACGUGUCUCCCCCUCGAAAGGAAAGCGGUAACCCUUAUUAACAUUUCAGACAGGAAUUGGGUUUCAAUGUACUCCAUAGAAACGAGAAUCCCGUAAGCGCAAUUCAUGAGCUUGGUUGAUUAACUCCCUGCCCUUGUACACCGCCGUUGUACUCACAGAUUGAAUGAUUAGUGAGCUUCGACUGCGCCUGAUGCCGGCACGCGGUUCGCGCUGGCUUUCGCGUCGAGCUGACGGGAAAGAAUUUCCACAAUUUGACAUUGAUAUUAACAGUCGUAACAAAGUUCGUAGUGAAACCUGCCGGAA